rnacentral:rRNA from 1 species
AUGAUAGGUAAUUUCUGGAAUAUUAGAGGACUUAACAGUCCUUUUAAAGUAGACAAGUUAAAAGAGCUCAUUAGAGCCAACAUCCCUGACUUUAUUUGUAUUUCUGAAACCAAAAAAUAAGAUUUCUCUAUUCUUCAAAUUGAAGCCUUUGACCCCAGGGCUAAUUUCCACUCGAAAUGGCUGCCUGCUAUAAACACUGCAGGAGGGGUCCUGUUGGGUUGCAAGUUAGAUACCUUUGACAUUAUUCAAUGUGAUCUGCACAAUUACUGCAUCUCUUGUCUAAUUAGGAACAAACAAGAUAGCUCUGUUUGGAGACUUAUUUCUGUAUAUGGCUCUGCAUAUGAUCAGUAUAAGAUGGAUUUUAUUAACGAACUACAUUCCAUUCUAGCUGGCGGAGGAGGACCCACUCUAGUAGGUGGUGAUUUUAAUCUAAUUAGAGAGGCU